rnacentral:rRNA from 1 species
AUACGUAGAGAGCAAGCGUUGUCCGGAAUCAUUGGGCGUAAAGGGUACGCAGGCGGAUAUGCAAGUCAAAUGUGAAAGGUGACGGCUCAACCGUCAGACUGCGUUUGAAACUGCAUAUCUUGAGUACAACAGAGGGGAGCGGAAUUCCUGGUGUAGUGGUGAAAUACGUAGAUAUCACGAAGAACAUCAGUGGCGAAGGCGGCUCUCUGGGUUGUAACUGACGCUGAGGUACGAAAGCUGGGGUAGCGAACGGGAUUAGAUACCCCGGUAGUCCCAGCUGUAAACGCUGGACACUAGGUGUUGGUGGUUCGAAUCCAUCAGUGCCGGAGUUAACGCAUUAAGUGUCCCGCCUGGGGAUUACGGUCGCAAGACUGAA